rnacentral:rRNA from 1 species
CCCUUAGAUGUUCUGGGCCGCACGCGCGCUACACUGACGAAUGCAACGAGCUUAUAACCUUGGCCGAAAGGUCUGGGUAAUCUCCAAAUUUCGUCGUGAUGGGGAUAGAUUAUUGCAAUUAUUAAUCUUCAACGAGGAAUGCCUAGUAAGCGCAAGUCAUCAGCUUGCGUUGAUUACGUCCCUGCCCUUUGUACACACCGCCCGUCGCUUGUACCGAUUGGAUGGUCCGGUGAAAUCUCGGGACGGCGGCUUGGUCGCUUGCGUCCGACUGCUGAAACUUGAUUAAACCAUAUCAUUUAGAGGAAGGUGAAGUCGUAACA